UACGAAGGGGGCUAGCGUUGUUCGGAAUUACUGGGCGUAAAGCGCACGUAGGCGGAUAUUUAAGUCAGGGGUGAAAUCCCAGAGCUCAACUCUGGAACUGCCUUUGAUACUGGGGUAUCUUGAGUAUGGAAGAGGUAAGUGGAAUUGCGAGUGUAGAGGUGAAAUUCGUAGAUAUUCGCAGGAACACCAGUGGCGAAGGCGGCUCACUGGCCCGAUACUGACGCUGAGGCACGAAAGCGUGGGGAGCAAACAGG
rnacentral:rRNA from 1 species